UUACUACUCCUUCCGUCUGGAAAUACUCGUCAGAAAGAUGGAUGUAUCUAGACGUAUUUUAGUUCUAGAUGCAUCUAUUUUAAUUUAUUUUGACAACAAGUAAUUUUGAACGGAAGGAGUACUAG
rfam:Hordeum vulgare subsp. vulgare, WGS project CAJW01000000 data, contig: morex_contig_470326